GGGUCGAUGGCGUAGUUGGUUAUCGCAUCUGUCUAACAUUGUGAUAACCACUCAGAUAGUUACACAGAAGGUCCUCAGUUCAAACCUGGGUCGACUUA